AUUGAACGCUGGCGGCAGGCCUAACACAUGCAAGUCGAACGAGUGGCGGACGGGUGAGUAAUGUCUGGGAAACUGCCUGAUGGAGGGGGAUAACUACUGGAAACGGUAGCUAAUACCGCAUACCAUCAGAUGUGCCCAGAUGGGAUUAGCUUGUUGGUGGGGUAACGGCUCACCAGGGCGACGAUCCCUAGCUGGUCUGAGAGGAUGACCAGCCACUAUGGAACAGAGACACGGUGCAGACGCCUACGGGAGGCAGCAGUGGGGAAUAUUGCACAAUGGGCGCAAGCCUGAUGCAGCCAUGCCGCGGGUGUGAAGAAGGCCUCCGGGUUGUAAAGUACUUUCAGAGCGGAGGCGUUACCCGCAGAAGAAGCACCGGCCAACGCCGGGCCAGCAGCCGCGGUAAUUC
rnacentral:rRNA from 1 species